UACGUAGGGCGCAAGCGUUAUCCGGAAUUAUUGGGCGUAAAGCGCGCGCAGGCGGUCCUUUAAGUCUGAUGUGAAAGCCCACGGCUCAACCGUGGAGGGUCAUUGGAAACUGGGGGACUUGAGUGCAGGAGAGAAGAGUGGAAUUCCACGUGUAGCGGUGAAAUGCUUAGAUAUCGUCAAGAACACCUAUAGCGAAGGCAGCUUACUAGGCUGUAACUGACGCUGAGGCACGAAAGUGUGGGGAUCAAACAGG
rnacentral:rRNA from 1 species